CUCGUGAGGUGCGGGAAUUGUAGAGCGUUAAGGCCGCACGGCUCUAGUUUGUUCGGGUGUAACGAAACUAGGCCCGUGACACAUGGCUGUCAUGUGGCUUCACUUUCUGCUGGAAAUUAUGGAGUUCCUGUUGUGGUGGACGGUUUCUUCUAUGGUCGAGCCAGUGGAAUGGCUCCAAUGCACGGUCUAGUACUUAAUCCGUUGUAAUCUUAAAACUCGGAGAUUAUUCACUGGGCUGACUUGACCAAUAACAUCAUUUAUCACUUAAAUGAAAGAAUCCUAACAUUGUUACUGGGAGUUAUUUCGUAUAAAUGAAAGGGGGAAACAAGGAGAAUUCCGCGUAAAAUCCGAACAUAGCUGUGGGAUUUGCCUCCUACAGUUUAUAUCCUGCCGCCCCUUUUCUGGCCUUGUUGAUCCCAUCUGUGCCUCGGUUCCAGGACUCAUCUUUUCUUCAGGUAAAGUCCUAUAACCUUUCCAUGCUUUGAUCGCCGUAGGAGGUCUAAUUCACUUACGAUGCAGGAUACAAAGACUGAGUUUCUUGUGCUCACUUUCAAGCUCUGAUCCAGCAAAAAUCAGAACUGUCACGGGAGGAUCAUGUCAACUUUUAGCAACCCGACUGACCUGAACCUGCCCUUGGUAACAAUAUCUGUGCUAUCUGGCUCACGAUUUGUACACAGGAUUUCAAGACUUAUCCAUGUGCAGUGCUCCAACCAAAGGGAGUGAGUGUUACAGUAAAUCCACUGCAGUACUAUUGCUCCAGAAGGAAACCAGAAUUUGGAGAUUACUAACUGUAAUACAAGUACUUGAUAACUUCAGUUUCAGUGGAAUUGUUCUGACAGGGAGUCUAAAUCACAUUGUGAGGAAAUACCACAAAACUGGACCCGGCCUAGUUGACACCAAUGGUUCAGUGAAAUCAUGGAAAGUGUUAACAGUAUAGAAAUACACUGUAGAUUUGCAACUUAAAAAGCUAAGGAAAAAUUCAGUGGCGCAUGAAAUUCUAAUUAUAUGUUAAUUCAAUCAGUGAAAGUUAAAAGGACCCUUUAACAUGUCAA